GGAACCAGGGGCAAAGGUCAGCCAGAGGAUCUAACAGAAUAAACAUAGGCAACCGGAACAAGGCAAGACAAGACCAAUACCAAUACCAAGAGAGAAGUUGAACCAAAGUUAGCAGGGAUGAUGGUUGAGUGCUGGAAUGUUCCGAAGAAACCCUGAUGGAGAUUAUAAAGUAGGUCUGCAUGUUGAACAAAGGACCAGGUCAGAAAGACUUCCAGGUGCACCACUGCCUUGCCCCGUGAUGAAAGAAAUUCUUGGUCCCUGCCUGAUGCCCACCAGAGAUAUGAAGUCUGACUUUCUCAGCAAUUCUUGGUUCCAGCUAAGAGAAAAGUAAAUAUUGAACAAGCCAUUAAUCUAGAAGCUCA